GACGAACGCUGGCGGCGUGCUUAACACAUGCAAGUCGAACGGACAGGCCUGCUUUCCCUUGUGGAUUUCGUGUACUCGGGUGGCUAACUGGUGAGUAACACGUCAGUCAUCUGCCCCCAACUUAGUUAUAAGCCUGGGAAACUGUGUCUAAUUCCCUAUUGGACUGCAUGGUUGUGCCUUUGGUGGCAGACUUUUUUCUAGUUGUUGAUGAUGAGCUCGCGGCUUAUCAGCUUGGUGGUGGGGUAAUGUCCUACCAAGGCGGCGACGGGUAGCCGUCCUGAGAGGGUGGACGGCCAAAGUGAGACUGGGAUACGGCCCAGACGGAUACGAGAGGCAGCAGAGGGGAAGAUUGGAGAAUGGGCGGAAGCCUGAAGCAGCGAGGGAGCGUGGGGGAUGACGGGAUUGGGGUAGUAAACUACUAGCGAAGGAGAGGAAGCCACGUGGGUGGAAGGGUGGUGACGGUAGUGGUAGAAGAAGCAACGGCUAACUACGUG
rnacentral:rRNA from 1 species